rnacentral:rRNA from 1 species
CCUACGGGUGGCAGCAGUGGGGAAUAUUGCACAAUGGGCGCAAGCCUGAUGCAGCAACGCCGCGUGAGCGAAGAAGGUCUUCGGAUCGUAAAGCUCUGUCCUUGAGGAAGAAGGAAGUGACGGUACUUGAGGAGGAAGCCUCGGCUAACUACGUGCCAGCAGCCGCGGUAAUACGUAGGGGGCUAGCGUUAUCCGGAAUUACUGGGGGUAAAGGGUGCGUAGGUGGUUGCUUAAGUCAGAGGGGAAAGGCUAGGGCUCAACCGUAGUAAGCCUUUGAAACUGGGGAACUUGAGUGCAGGAGAGGAGAGUGGAAUUCCUAGUGUAGCGGUGAAAUGCGUAGAUAUUAGGAGGAACACCAGUUGCGAAGGCGACUCUCUGGACUGUAACUGACACUGAGGCACGAAAGCGUGGGGAGCAAACAGGAUUAGAUACCCUUGUAGUC